GACGAACGCUGGCGGCGUGCUUAACACAUGCAAGUCGAACGGUGAAGCGCCUUCCUUUUUGGUGGGUGUGGAUGAGUGGCGAACGGGUGAGUAACACGUGAGUAACCUGCCCCCUUCUUCUGGAUAACCGCAUGAAAGUGUGGCUAAUACGGGAUAUUCUGGGUCUGUCGCAUGAUGGGUCUGGGAAAGAUAUUGUUUCGGUGGGGGAUGGGCUCGCGGCCUAUCAGCUUGUUGGUGGGGUGAUGACCUACCAAGGCGGUGACGGGUAGCCGGCCUGAGAGGGUGGACGGUCACACUGGGACUGAGACACGGCCCAGACUCCUACGGGAGGCAGCAGUGGGGAAUAUUGCACAAUGGGCGCAAGCCUGAUGCAGCGACGCCGCGUGAGGGAUGGAGGCCUGCGGGUUGUGAACCUCUUUCGCCAGUGAAGCAGGCCUGCCUCGUUUGUGGGUGGGUUGACGGUAGCUGGAUAAGAAGCGCCGGCUAACUACGUG
rnacentral:rRNA from 1 species